CACAGAGGUCCCAAGCGUUGUUCGGAUUCACUGGGCGUAAAGGGUGCGUAGGUGGUCAGGUAAGUCUGAUGUGAAAUCUCUGGGCUCAACCCAGAAACUGCAUUGGAUACUAUCUGGCUAGAGGAGUGGAGGGGGGACUGGAAUACUUGGUGUAGCAGUGAAAUGCGUAGAUAUCAAGUGGAACACCAGUGGCGAAGGCGAGUCCCUGGACACUUCCUGACACUGAGGCACGAAAGCUAGGGGAGCAAACAGG
rnacentral:rRNA from 1 species